ACAGGCAUAAAGUGGUUAUUGUAGAAGGAAACUACAUCUUGUUAGAAGAAGGAUCUUGGAAAGACAUCUCGGAUAUGUUUGAUGAUAAGUGGUUCAUCGAUGUCAAUCUGGAUACAGCAAUGCAACGAGUUGAAAACCGGCAUAUCUCAACUGGUAAACCACCAGAUGUUGCUAAAUGGAGGGUUGAUUAUAACGACCGACCCAAUGCAGAGCUGAUAAUAAAGUCGAAGUCGAAUGCUGAUUUACUGAUCAGAUCUAUUAACUUUUGAAUCUGCUUUCUUGCAUGAAGAUGGUUUGGGUAAAGACAGUCAUUUUCCUGCAUUGGAAAUCUUUUUAAUAAGCAAUUUUCUUUGCAUUUAACUGUGUGUGUAUUACUAUUUAUUUCCAAUGUUCUUGCAAUGUACCCGGAUUUUGUUCGUACAUUGUGUUUUCUUUUACACUCCUAAUAGGCAAAUCAUGUUUUUAAUAA